rnacentral:rRNA from 1 species
UACAGAGGGGCAAGCGUUAUUCGGAAUUAUUGGGCGUAAAGGGCGCGUAGGCGGCCAGGCAAGUGGAAGGUGAAAUCCCUCGGCUUAACCGAGGAACUGCCCUCCAAACUGCUUGGCUUGAGACCGGGAGAGGUGAGUGGAAUUCCCAGUGUAGCGGUGAAAUGCGUAGAUAUUGGGAGGAACACCAGUGGCGAAGGCGGACUCACUGGACCGGUACUGACGCUGAUGCGCGAAAGCGUGGGGAGCAAACGGGG